rnacentral:rRNA from 1 species
GUAGAUUGUAUUGUUGGCAACAACAUACGAUUCGCCGAGAAGUUGGUCAAACUUGGUCAUUUAGAGGAAGUAAAAAGUCGUAACAAGGUUUCCGUAGGUGAACCUNCGGAAGGAUCAUUA